CUCGAUUAUGGAAUUGAGACAGAGAGAGUGGUUGUUUGCGUUGGGGGUAAGACCGGUAACGGGGGAAGCCUUGGCGCCCACCACCCCUCAGUUGGCCUCACCAAAAGCUUCGGGAGCCUCCAGCAAGGUUGCUUGGGGGGAGAGGUGGCGGCCGGGUUGCCCCCAAUACAGAUCUACCCCUUCCUCUCUCUUUCAAACAAGACAGAGAGAAGGGGAGGGAUCUGCGGUGGGGGCAACCCGUUCGGCAUCGCCCCUAAGCGGCCUCGCCGCAGGCGUCGGAAGCUCCCGGCGAGGUCAACUGGGGGGGCGGUGGCUUAGCAGUGGUCCUCACACUGUCGAUCCCUUGCCCCGUUGAACAGUCUGGAAAUUAUUUUUUUUAAAAAAAAAAAUCCUGUAGGAUAAAAUAAAGAAGGACGAUGAGGGAGUUCAAUAACAGCAUGGUCGCGACCCUUCCUUCAUUGAGAUCCCCCUAAUCUUCCACAUCGUCGAUGAAGUCGAGAACAACAAUAAUUCCAGAUGGCUUAUCCUUUUGGGUUCCUUCUUGUAUAAUUUAUUUAUUUAUUUAUUUAAUGUGAUUGUGGUACUGAAAAUUUGAGGAAUUUUUUGGAACACCAAAGACCAACCAUUUCUGUGAAUUGAAGGGUUUUGCUUCUACUAUAUUUAAGAUUGUGUUUGUAGUGGCCGAUCGCGAGCUCCCACAGGGACAAUCAUCCUCUUGCUCUAUUUGUUUUUGUUUUCUUUUUUAUUCGGUAGAGGAGAGAGGCACCUUGUGACCUGCCCUGCCCUCGUUCGAGACCAUUCUUUCUCUUGAACAAAAAUUCUAACGAGCAGUGAACGAAGGACAGAGGAGGAGAGACAAUGAAGUUGAGGAGGAACGAGGGCGCGACUGCCACUCGUGCAACCCUUCAUCGUCGUCUUCUCCUAAAUCCUCUUCGCCAAUUUCACCUUCUCCUCCUACCCAGGAAAAUAUAAGGCAUUGGUGGUCUCCUCAUGGAAGAAGUCGGCCAUGGAAACCAUGUCCGGUAAAUUGGUGUCGCGCCGAUUUUGAUUCAGAGAGAGAGAAGGGGGCAGAUCAGAGGUGUGGCACCAACACCGGCAACUGCCAACCUUGCCGGACGCACGGGAAGCCCCAGGCAGCCUCUCUCUUUUUUCCAGAUCGAUUCCUCUUCCUUUAUUUUAAUUCGUACAAAAUGUAAGGAGCGAAAUAUUUACAAAGAAAUGGCGGAGAUAAGAAAGAAUAAAAGAAACAUGAAAUAAUAAAAUAAUGACACAUCAGUAUUUUCCAUCCAUUUUUUAAUGGAUGCUGACGGAAUGGCACAUCCGAUGCACACUUACGCGGUGAAGGGCGAAAGUGAUGUAAAAAAUGGGUCGAUGUGCGUUUGAGAUAAACUCAAUUACUCUUUUGUGAAA